rnacentral:lncRNA from 1 species
CUCAGUGCUUAGCACAUUGAUAUAUAGUAAGUGUUUAGUAAAUGCUUAUUGACUAAUGACUGAAAAUCUGAAAGGAUUUUAGGAACCCCUAAGGAUAUUGGGCCACUCUGACGAAUAUUCACAGGGAAAUCUGAUGCAGAAACUUCUUCUGCCAAUGCAGAUGAUGAAACCGAGGCUCAAAGAAGCUAAGGUGUGAAUUAGAUUGGAUAAUCUCUGGGAACCCUUUCGA